UUGGAGGGCAAGUCUGGUGCCAGCAGCCGCGGUAAUUCCAGCUCCAAUAGCGUAUAUUAAAGUUGUUGCAGUUAAAAAGCUCGUAGUUGAAUUUCGGGGUUAGCAGGUCGGUCGUGCCAUUGGUAUGAACUGGUCUCGCUGAUCCCUCCCUCUUGGCGAACUGUGAUGCCAUUAAUUUGGUGUCGCAGGGAAUCAGGACUGUUACUUUGAAAAAAUUAGAGUGUUUAAAGCAGGCUUUCGCUUGAAUACAUUAGCAUGGAAUAAUGAAAUAGGACGUUCGAUCCUAUUUUGUUGGUUUCUAGGAUUGACGUAAUGAUUAAUAGGGAUAGUUGGGGGCAUUAGUAUUCAAUUGUCAGAGGUGAAAUUCUUGGGUUUAUUGAAGACUAACUACUGCGAAAGCAUUUGCCAAGGAUGUUUUCAUUAAUCAAGAACGAAAGUUAGGGGAUCGAAGACGAUCAGAUACCGUCGUAGUCUUAACCAUAAACUAUGCCGACUAGGGAUCGGAUGAUGUUAAUUUUUUAAUGACUCAUUCGGCGCCUUACGGGAAAC
rnacentral:rRNA from 1 species